rnacentral:tRNA from 1 species
GGGGUUGUGGCCCAGUGGUAGAGCGCUCGCCUAGCACGUGUGAGGCUCUGGGUUCAAUCCUCAGCACCA